AGCAGCCGCGGUAAUUCCAGCUCCAAUAGCGUAUAUUAAAGUUGUUGCAGUUAAAAAGCUCGUAGUUGAAUUUCGGGAUUGACACAUCGGUCGUGCCUUAAGGGGUAUGAACUGGUGUAGUCAAUUUCUCACCUUCUGGAGAACCGCGAUGCCCUUAAUUGGGUGUCGCGGGGAACCAGGACC
rnacentral:misc_RNA from 1 species